rnacentral:rRNA from 1 species
AUUGAACGCUGGCGGCAGGCCUAACACAUGCAAGUCGAACGGUAACAGGAAACAGCUUGCUGUUUCGCUGACGAGUGGCGGACGGGUGAGUAAUGUCUGGGAAACUGCCUGAUGGAGGAGGAUAACUACUGGAAACGGUAGCUAAUACCGCAUAACGUCGCAAGACCAAAGAGGGGGACCCUCGGGCCUCUUGCCAUCGGAUGUGCCCAGAUGGGAUUAGCUUGUUGGUGGGGUAACGGCUCACCAAGGCGACGAUCCCUAGCUGGUCUGAGAGGAUGACCAGCCACACUGGAACUGAGACACGGUCGAGACUCCUACGGGAGGCAGCAGUGGGGAAUAUUGCACAAUGGGCGCAAGCCUGAUGCAGCCAUGCCGCGUGUAUGAAGAAGGCCUUCGGGUUGUAAAGUACUUUCAGCGGGGAGGAAGGGAGUAAAGUUAAUACCUUUGCUCAUUGACGUUACCCGCAGAAGAAGCACCGGCUAACUCCGUG